rnacentral:rRNA from 1 species
UUAUGAGUUUGAUCCUGGCUCAGAACGUACGCUGGCGGCAAGCCUAACACAUGCAAGUCGAACGGAUAGCUACCCAUAGCUUUUUUAGCUAUAGGUUUGCUAUUAGUGGCAGACGGGUGAGUAAUGCAUAGGAAUCUACCUAGUAGUAUGGAAUAGCCAUUAGAAAUGAUGGGUAAUACUGUAUAAUCCCUGCGGGGGAAAGAUUUAUCGCUAUUAGAUGAGCCUAUGUUAGAUUAGUUAGUUGGUAAGGUAAUGGCUUACCAAGACUAUGAUCUAUAGCUGGUCUGAGAGGACGAUCAGCCACACUGGAACUGAGAUACGGUCCAGACUCCUACGGGAGGCAGCAGUGGUGAGAGUUUGAUCCUGGCUCAGUACUCUAUCCGGCGAGAAUGAUUUCAUGAAGUUCCAAAGCUGAAUGUUGGGUGAAGCUUUAGCUGU